AUCGCUCCUCGGCCUUUUGCUUAGAUCAAAGGUAGUAUCUUGUCUUAUCAGUAUAAAAGCUGAUACGUCCUCUAUCUGGGGACCAUAUUAAAUUGAUUAUUGGACCAGGGAGGUUGAUUAGGUACUUGCUCUGUCCACUCCACGCAUCAAUCUAGUACUGCAAUCCCUCCAGGAACGGCACACCUCAC